rnacentral:rRNA from 1 species
GACGAAGGAUGCAAGCGUUAUCCGGAUUCAUUGGGUUUAAAGGGAGCGUAGGCGGCCUUAUAAGUCAGUGGUGAAAUCUCUGGGCUUAACCCAGAAAUUGCCAUUGAUACUGUAGGGCUUGAGUAUAGAUGCCGUUGGCGGAAUAUGACAUGUAGUGGUGAAAUACAUAGAGAUGUCAUAGAACACCGAUUGCGAAGGCAGCUAACGAAACUAUAACUGACACUGAGGCUCGAAAGUGUGGGGAUCAAACAGG